GAUGAAGAACGCAGUGAAAUGCGAUAAGUAAUGUGAAUUGCAGAAUUCAGUGAAUCAUCGAAUCUUUGAACGCACAUUGCGCCCGCCAGUAUUCUGGCGGGCAUGCCUGUUCGAGCGUCAUUACAACCCUCAGGCCCCCGGGCCUGGCGUUGGGGAUCGGCGGAAGCCCCCUGCGGGCACAACGCCGUCCCCCAAAUACAGUGGCGGUCCCGCCGCAGCUUCCAUUGCGUAGUAGCUAACACCUCGCAACUGGAGAGCGGCGCGGCCACGCCGUAAAACACCCAACUUCUGAAUGUUGACCUCGAAUCAGGUAGGAAUACCCGCUGAACUUAAGCAUAUCAAUAGCGGAGGA
rnacentral:misc_RNA from 1 species